rnacentral:lncRNA from 1 species
AAAAUGUGUCGAUCUGACACAUCGAAUGUGUACACCGCGUUGUUUUGGAAUCGAUGUGUUGAUUCUACACAUUGCGCUGGUUUUUGCUCAAAAAGCCAUCCAAUGUGUAAAUUGGCUUUGCGGCUGUUGCACAAAGUUGCCACCAGGUGCGUGCAUCGCUAUUUCUUAAAUGUCAAAGUGAUAGAAUUUGUCAGCCUCGUGUAGCACUUUUCUCUGCUAACAGUCUGUGCGGAACAAAAAAUCCGUAUUUUACCGUUUUUCGAUCCCCAAACCGUGUUGGCCAUGAACUGGGAGGACUUGUCCAUUCCAGUGCAUGGCCAACACGGUUUGGGAUCGGUAAAUAAACCUCAACAUCCUUCUCCAACUCAAAAUUCCCUUCUUCUCUGAGUUGCCAGGGCAAGGGCUUGUUUCUGAGAAAGUGGCCACUUGCCAUACGAUGGCAGUGCUUAUCCGGAAAUGCGCAUUGUGCUGUAUCCGCUGGGUUAGAAGCUGCCAGAGAGAUUGAUCAAAAACCCCUCAGCCCCCGGGGCCGAUCACAUCAACAUGGUCAUUACCGCCGUCGUUCCGGUGGACAAUAUGGUGUUCCUGCAUACUUCACAGCAUUGGACGUGGCGGCCAGAUCGGUACACAGGUUCUGCCAUCACCUGCACCGCCACAGCUAAAGACUCUUCUAAUCCUGUUGCAACCCGAGGAGACACCUAACAGGACAGCCUCUUGGCCAAAACGCUCACAAUCUGGAACAAUCGAUGAAGAUGUCCAGCGCCAUCGAUGAAACAAUUUCAAGCUGUUUUUAGCAGCGAUGAAAAAGUCGACGCACAAGUCUUGGCGGUCACCGCUCACUCAUCGUCAAUGGCCGCGAGCUGUGCAACAAUUUCAACAAAAAGUUCGAGAGCGUGGUCCUAAUUCGUCGUGGAGCGGUCUUGCCACUGACGCCACCGGAACGAUCGCAGAGACUGGUUAGAGCCGGGAACGGUCGUGCGCGGUCCGCUAUCGAACAGCUGUUGCUCCAGCGGGCGGACGAGUUCGAGUUGAUUGUGCGGGUUGAUCCGGUCGCCCGCGAGCAAAUGGAACGAAGCGUCCGCUCCAACUUCCGAAGAUGCUUGGCGAACCGUCCCGGUCGCUGCUGGACGUCACCUCAUCGACGCAGCACGACAACGAGCAGCAGCACUACCAAGAGAAUGAGACUCGCCGGUCAUCGAGUGGUUGUUACAGCAAUUAUCGGCACGAUGCUCCCGAAGCGCGGGGCCACGGAAGUCCGUUGCGUUUUGAAAUCGCGCACAACCCAAACCGAUCAGAAAUGGCAGCUCCAGCCAUCGACAGCAGCAGCUCGGUUGUAACACGGCUUCCGGUCAGGAGAUGUAGUAGGUGAAACCGAACAUAUCGGCGUUGAUGAACUCAGCGAACAUUCUCGGAACCGCAAUGAUGAACCUGAGCCGUUCUUCGACCCGCUCUCGAUGGUGUACCAACUAUGAUGAUCCCCGGUGGGCAAGCGCCGGUUCCUGGCCCGUCGGUGGCACCGACAGCUGCCAACAUGCCGGCACGGCAGCCUAUGACAGCGCAAAUUAUGCCUCCCCGCAGCCGACGCCAUCCGCGAGUGUGGGACUGCGAUUCCGGGGGCACCGGAUCACCCCGUUCAGUCCGAGGCGGGAAAAUUCUGGAGCGAGGCAGACCGGGGUGCCGCACUAAAAGCAGUUGUUAAGAGCCGUUGGCGAGUCCAAAACUAUGGCAGAAAUGCGACCAUUUGGUUUCCUGAUGGUGCUCGCGUACGGAACGC